UGGCGGACGGGUGAGUAAUGUCUGGGAAACUGCCCGAUGGAGGGGGAUAACUACUGGAAACGGUAGCUAAUACCGCAUAACGUCGCAAGACCAAAGAGGGGGACCUUAGGGCCUCUUGCCAUCGGAUGUGCCCAGAUGGGAUUAGCUAGUAGGUGGGGUAACGGCUCACCUAGGCGACGAUCCCUAGCUGGUCUGAGAGGAUGACCAGCCACACUGGAACUGAGACACGGCCCAG
rnacentral:rRNA from 1 species